CCACAAUCCACCCCUUCCCAGACCUCAUUUAAGGGUUGGCAGUGGAGUUGGGCCAGCUUAUUGGAGAUCCCUGUAUACCUGAAGCUUUCUGAAGGAUCCUUAUUCUGAAAUAUGCUGGAAGCCAUAACACAUCGCUAAAAGUGCUCACAUGCAGAGGAAUGUCCACAGUGCCAGCAUGCAAAAGGUGCUGCCAACGUACAGGGCUAGGAUGAGGAAAAGUUGAUUUGAGGUACAGUUCCAAGAAAAGCAAGAAAACAUAUGGGAAGGAGAAGCAUUCAGAAGGGUACUUCUGAGGCUGAAGACCUGGAUGAAGACAAGAAAAUCUGUGUUCAGUUCCUGAUGUUGGCAUGAGCUGGCUGUGUGAACGUGGACAGCUUGUUAAUUUUAUGCCUUGAAUGAACGCUGGGAUUCUUUGUACCUAGUGUCUGUCACUGGAUCCUAGGGCAAUGAAAAUAGACUUCAGUGAGUAAAGCAACCACCACAAGUACUACUCUGCUAUAGACAUCCUAAUGUAUGAUGAUAGCAAACAAAUAGGAUGAUAUUUUGAGCAAUAUUGGCUAAAAUUUCUUAAAUGGAUCUUGACGAUUGAUUACUGGGGAGAACAGGACAUGGACAAUGGCAUUGCUGUGUCCACUUCUGCAAGUGUGCACAUAAAUAGCUCACACUGAUAAUAACAGAAACAGUGUCUGAAUCAAUUUGCAUUAAAACUUAGCUCCUAGAAUACAUUUCAAGGAACAUUAAUAGCCCUGUCUGCAUUUUACUAACACCUUAGUGAAAUCUGAAAUGAUUGCUUUGAAAUGGAAAUAAUCUGUCUGCUUUUAAUAAGAAUGCUGAUGGAGAUGCAGCAAUAUGGGAUUGGUCAAAGCCUGAAGAAAAGUUUCUAGCUGAAUUUUCGAUGGAAGUGUAAUCUUUACAUGGGCAAGUGUCUGGGUGUUUGAAUUACAUUCCAUGGAUGUUAACUGGGAAAAGGAGACAGAGGAAGAAAAGGGGAGAGUUCAUGGGGCUGAAAUUCAUUCACGUGAUUCUUAGCACUCCUACAGCUAUUGGUGCCUGGCAGCUUGGAGGUGGAUAUUGGAUCUUCUAGAAUCCUGAUUAACAGAGAUGUCCUCAUUAGUGUGUCAGUAUUGUCCAGCGCUGUUUUCUUAGAUCCUAUCUUUGCCGUAGUGAGUCACAAAGAAAUACAGUCCAGCUUAUUUUCAGCAUUUCGUUGCUAGAAAACUCUUUUUUGGAUCUCUUAUACGUGAAAAGUAACAUAAAGAAAUUUUUCCAAGAGAACAACUGUGGGACGGUUAUAGUUUCCUCUGCUCAGUUUUGAUUAAAGCCUCUUCAUGUUUAUUUUUGAUAGAAUCACAAGGCGCUCACUUGACGCUAAAUAUAAAUACAAUGACUCAAAGAGAAUGCUGAGGUCCAGAUUUUGAAAAAUGAAUCAGUGAGAUGCUCCAAGCACCAUUAAAUCCCACUUCAUAUUUUCAAAGCCGCCAACAAAUGUAAACAACAAAAUUUAAGAUAACAUGUUGUUUUGGUUGGUAUUUUUAGAAUGGCAUAUGCUGCUGGUUCUCACAGAGCACCUCAUGGUUGAUUGUGCUGCGCUCCAUGAUUCACAUAUAUGACUUUUUUUUUGUGACUUGGACUUUUGCUGUGUUUCUGAAAGAGAAGUGCUUUGUUAAAUCGACUGUUGCACAUUGCUUGCCCAUUCCUGCAUGUUUUCACUGCUCUUGUUGUGUAAAGAAGUUUUUUAAGGCAUUUAGGCAUCUGAAGAAAAAACAAGUCAUUUGUUGUUGUGUGCUUAAACAAGGCAUCUUCUGUUGUCUUUAUGCUCUCAAGUAUUUUUGAAAAUCCUAGGGAUAUCUGUUUACUAUUUGAUAAGAUACGUACCAUCAGAUACCUUGGGUGUAGGUAUUGCUGCUUACUGUGGCAUAAAUGCUAGGUAAGACCUUUCAGAUCAUUGUUAGGACUGGUUCUCCUGUAUAAAAGUUUCAAGUCAAAUUUCCAAGUAUUGUAUUUUUCUCACUGGUGACAUCAUCUUGUUUGCUUAGUCCAUCUUCAGAUGCAUUUCGAAAGGUCACCUCGUGUUGUUAAUAUUUAAAAUUCACAUAAUGUGAAGGAGCAACAGUGCAAGCACCCACCUUCAGAUACAAAUAACUCUUCCUCCUUUUGGAAUGAGAAAAGAUCUGUUUUUGAUGGUGCAUGAAUUGCAGCUAUGAAAGCUUUAAAACGUUUAUCAUUUCUGUCUGUGAUUAUGUAGCAACAAAAAUAUAGAUGCAGUUAACCACAAGUGCUAAACAGAGAGAAAAUCAGUCACCUUUCCGAAGCCUGACUGAGUCCUUAAUAAAAUCUACAGGAAUGUGUAAUUUUAACUCGUGUCAUUUAAAAAUUGACACACUUUAAAAGUUGAAUUGUAUAUAACUUUUGAUGAAAUAAAUUGCAUGCAACUUUUUUGUUAGAGGACAUCCUACUCACUAUUGCUAUAUUUUUUGAGGAGUACUUUUUUCCAUAUUUUUUCCAUCACAAGGAAAAAAAAUCCUUUAUGAAGCUUCUGGGGAGUAUUGGCGUGAAGCUUAUGUUUUGCAGAUGGAAGGCUGCAAGGCAUCAUCGAAGUAACAAAAAUUAUUGCUCCACGGGCCUGAAUUCCAUAUUUAUUGCCUAUCUGCAGAUAUUUACGGAUUCUGAUUCUCGUUUCUUGCUAAAGUGCUUUCCUAGAGCCCUGAUAGGCACGAAGUGCCCUUAUAUUCCACUAUUUUCAGUGGAUUUCUUUGGUUUGAUUGAAUCAGGUUCUUGCUCUUCUGAUACUGAGAACAAGAAAUUUCGUGUCAAAUCUCAAAUGAGAACGGUGGAAAUUCCCAUUCCUUCUCUUGCAUAUGAGAACUUGUAUUGACUUGAGGUUUGAAGUCAGAAAUUUUAAUCAACUAGAGUGCAUUUUCGAGUCUGAUAAAUCUUAGCAGACCAUUUAAUCUAUAUAGCUUAGAGCAUGAGCCAGAGAACACAGCCAGCUACAAAAUAUACGACUUUCGGUAAAGUUUCAGAAUUCCUGCACGUUUGUUUGGGAUGAGCUUCUUUCUAAGAGGUCAUACUGCUGCUUCAUGGAAGAGGUUUAAGCUGACUCUGACCUUAAAUUACAAUUUAAUUUUUCUUCCCAAUUUAGAUGACAUGAGGGUGCUACUAUAAAUGAGAAAUGGGCCUAUCGACUGGUGUUGCUAUUUUUGUUAGGUGUGCAUGCGUGUGCAGAUAUACUUGUGCUCCAUUAUACCCCAUUUCUAACUUCUUCAAGUUGCCCUUCUAGUCAUUUUCGUGACUUUCUAAAGCACUGAACUGAAUAUCACUUAUGGGCAGAAGCUAAAGGCCAGCGAUGUCACUUUGUAAUUCGCUUCAGUAAUCUUUGGGCUGAGUUUAAUAACAGAGUUCAUUUGUAUCUGCAGCCCUGACUUUUUUUGGCAAUCCACUUGUUCCUGCUGCUGCUUACAUGCAAGAACAGAUUGACCACCCCCAGGUACCUUGGAAGUGAUGCUGGUGGAGCUGGCUGGGUUAUUCUAUAUUUACAGAGCUUGGAGCUGUGGAUGAGAGCACAAAUUGGCACCCAGUGCCUAUGACAAUAGCCCUGCCAUGGAAGACAUGUAGCAGGAGUCAACCAGCUUGGGCUGCUCACCAUCUCCAUGUAUGCAGUCCCCAUGACAGUAAGAUUUCUUGCUAGCACUUGUGUGGGGAUGAUACUUCUAGAAGCAAAGAUUUGUCUGGCUGAAGUGCUUUCUGCUACAGAGAGAUUAUGCAGUUCUAUGAUUCUAUUAGAGACACUGAGUUAUCCAUGUUGUGUAUCCUCAGGGGCACUGGAAUAGCCCUUGCUCAACGUCUUCAUGAAGAGCAACAC
ensembl:lncRNA